rnacentral:rRNA from 1 species
UACAGAGGUUGCAAGCGUUAAUCGGAAUUACUGGGCGUAAAGCGCGCGUAGGUGGCAAGUUAAGUCGGAUGUGAAAGCCCUGGGCUCAACCUAGGAAUUGCAUUCGAUACUGGCUCGCUCGAGUUUGGUAGAGGAGAGUGGAAUUCCCGGUGUAGCAGUGAAAUGCGUAGAGAUCGGGAGGAACAUCAGUUGCGAAGGCGGCUCUCUGGACCAGUACUGACGCUGAGGCACGAAAGCGUGGGGAGCAAACAGG